rnacentral:lncRNA from 1 species
AUCAGACAGAAAAAUAAAAGUGAAGGAAUAAAAAUCUAGGGUCUAACGUAAGGUUAGAUCUAGUAAAAGAUACACAAUAGUUUCCGGUGUAGAAACUAUUGUGCGAAAAAGAAUUAAUUAAGUGCUGAAAGCUUAACUGGAAAAGAAAAUAAAAAUAAAAAUAAAAACUGCAAUUAAAAGCAAAAACAGUAAAGAAAAAUAAUGGUAUGCUUGCACGGCUGGAAGAAGAAAAU